UACAGAGGGUGCGAGCGUUAAUCGGAAUUACUGGGCGUAAAGCGCGCGUAGGCGGCUUUGCAAGUCGGGUGUGAAAUCCCCAGGCUUAACCUGGGAACUGCAUUCGAGACUGCAUUGCUAGAGUAUGGGAGAGGGAAGUGGAAUUUCCGGUGUAGCGGUGAAAUGCGUAGAUAUCGGAAGGAACAUCAGUGGCGAAAGCGACUUCCUGGACCAAUACUGACGCUCAUGUGCGAAAGCGUGGGGAGCAA
rnacentral:rRNA from 1 species